AAGAGAAAGAAAUAUCUAAAAGGCCUAGGAAUGUGGCAAACAAUAUAGCCUGUAAAACAGUGAUUUCUUUGUACCGUCGGGACCACUGCUAUGAAAACCGGCCUUAGAGGAAAAAUGAGUUAUUGUACUUUUACCUUAAUCCACAUCUUAUUUUUGCUGAAUUUGUCUUGACCCUUACUCUCCGGCAUCCUAGCUCUAUGAUCUUGCUCAAGUUAUUUCACCAUUCUGGGCCUCAGAUUUCUCUCUGGACGAUGAAGAAUAGUAGUACCUCAUCACAGAGCUGCUGUCAGGACUAACAGGAGAAAUCCCAUAUAAUGUACCUAGAAUAUAGAAACCAGUCACUAAACGAUACCAAGAGAGAAGAGAGAAUAUUAUCUGAGGAAAUUACAUCCUCCUCUCAGGAGAAGAUGCAAGAACAGCUCAUCUGUAUUAUCAGGAUGAAAUGAAGAGCAUAUUGGACCAAGAGCUGGUUGCUGGGUGAUAUAGAGGUUGGGGAGUUAUGGAUAUCUUCCUCUUAAUUCUCUUAAUUGUCCAAUUUUUUUUCAGUGUAGUAGGACGCAAGAUCAUCUGUUAACAGUGAGCAUGGGAGAGGAUGUGGAGAAAGUUUGGAGAGAAGAAAUUGUAUGAAAUUGUAAUCUCCAAAAUCAAAAGAAUGCAUGAAGUAGAUAAGUGUUAUAAUAUCAUUAUGUUAUUAAUCAUGGCAUCAUAGUAACAAUACUAUUAAUCGCCCACAUCAGAUCUGUUUUGAUGAAUUUAAACACUUAAACAGAAUAUUCAGCAUGUUCGGCAUGGUUGUGUUUUUUUUAAACAAUAUAUUCAGAUACAAUGUUGUAGAAAAGGAGUAGAUGAGAAGCAAAUAGUUAACUGGGAUAUGGUUUUGACAAAUACAUAUGAUGACAUAAGAGAGAGGGGCAGAUUAAGGAAUGAGGUUGGUGGAGAGAGAGAGAGAGCCAGAAUCAGAGGGUGAGAGGGGAUGAGAAAGUGAGGAGCAAACUCGCUGUUAAGAUUGUGAUUGGCAGAACUGUGGCUGAGAAAAGUAUGUUUCUGUUAGGAGUAAGAAUACCAAUGAAAUGAGAAUUUGGAUAUUGAAUAUCAAAUUCAAUAAUGACUAUGGAAAUCACAUCAUGGAGAGAGUGAGUCAGUGGUCAAACCCAUGCAUAAAAGAAGGGUGGUGACCAGGAGAUCUGAUCACCAGGAGAUUCUUGAUACUCACAGGCUUAAAUUGCCACUGGGACAGGCCGAUGGCCUGUGUUUCAAUGUAGCUGGGUGUUUGAAGGAGGAAGGUAAAGAUACGUUUGCAAUUGGCUUUAAGGACCAAAACCAGGGAAGACACUGACGACAUUCAGACCCUGAGAUAUAUGGGGUAUGAAAGUGAAGGAGCUUCUGCUAGAAAAGAUCACAGCAUGGUGAGAAAACUCUUCAUAAUUUCUUGGGGAUUUGAAAGCCUCAGAUAGAUACUCUCUGUUAUUGGCAUGAGUAUUUUGAAUGAAAUAUAUGCAUAUCUACAAAACUUAUGAUCAGUAUAUGUACUUACAGUAGAUAUUAAGGGUAUAUGUGUGAUUUUCCAGUUUCUGUUCUUGUGUGAAUUUCAAAUAUAUUGCCUUUCUCCUUAUUUCUUAAUAUAUCACUCAAAUCCUUUAUUUUCUUGUGGCACAGUACUCUGCAAAUCUCAUUGCAGGAUAAAAGUAAUCUCUUUACACAGUGAGAAAUGGGAAAGAUUUUUACUGUUCCAGUGCCCUUAGUUUAAGUGUUGUCUUUAUUAAACUAAAAUUUUUAUGAUAAACAUGAUUUUCUUUACUGAUUUUACAGCUUUUUAUAUAUGGAUCCCAAAUUAUCACUUAAUGUGAUCAUUUGGAAUUUCAUGGCAAUUCAAGUGCCAUGACAAUUUCUAACAUAUUUCUACUUUAAAAUAGCUGACAUGCAUGUCAGAUUUAUUUUGUCAAUCAGUGUUGCUACUAAAGAGUUUUGGAGCAGACCACUUUAUCAGUGCUGUACAAAAGUUAAUCUUUCUGAAUCCAAGUUAAAGAAAAUAGAGAAAUAAAAUGAAAAGUAAAAGCAUCAUCAUUCACACCUCUGGCCCUGUGCGUGGAUCCCACUGCGUAUUGCAGCAAUGCUCACUGCUGCCAGAGACGAUUCUCCAUCAACUCUACUUUUUUUUUGUGGGGGGGUAUAUUUCUGCUACUUUGAAAGAGAGGAAAACUAUGUUAUUUUCUUUUAAGAAAAACCCUUUUAUUUUUAUUCCAAUAGCUAAUGGUACAAGUGGUUUUUGGUUACAUGGAUUAACUGCAGAGUAGUGAAGUCUGGGCUUUUAGUGCACCUGUCAUCCGAAUAACGGACAGUGUACCCAAUAGGGAUUUUUUUUUAUUCCUAGCCCCUCUGCGACCUUGCCUCUUUCUGAGUCUACAAUGUUUAUCAUAGCACUCCGUAUACCUUUGUGUACACAUAGCUUAGCUCCCACUUGUAAAUGAGAACAUGCAUUAUUUGGUUUUCCAUUUCUGAAUGGCUUCCGUUAGAAUAAUGGCCUCCAGUUCCAUCCAAGUUGCUGCAAAAUACUUUAUUUCAUUCUUUUUUAUGGCCAAGUAGUACUUCAUGGUGUAUAGAUAGAGAUAGAGAUAUAUAGAUAUAUCACAUCAUCUUCUUUAUUCACCCAUGAGUUGAUGGACACUGAGGUUGAUUACAAAUAUUUGCAAUUGUCAAUUGUGCUGUGAUAAAGAUAUGUGUGCAGAUGGCUUUUUGAUAUAAUGACUUCUUUUCCUUUUCGGUAGGUGCACAGUAGUUGCAUUUCUGGAUCAAAUGGUAGAUCUACUUGCAGGUUUUUGAUAAAUCUCUAUAUUGUUUUCCAUAGAGGUUGACUAAUUUACUUUUUAUAUUUUUUCAUCAUUCAAUAUUUAUUGAUAUUUUUGUGCCAAGGGCUGGUGACCAUGGGGUAAUAAAUGUAUACUCCUUCCCGUCUUAUUUGUUGGCAUGAGUUCAAGUUUUUAGUUGUAAAUGAAAGAAACUAUUGUGGUUGCCUUAAACACAAAGGAAUUUAUCAAAAUUAUAUGAAAUUACUAAUUUUCUUGAGGCUUGGGUACUGCUGAGCCAGAAACAAGAUCUAAAAUUAUGCCAGAGAUCUAUCACCAGCAGUAGAACUGCAUUUUCACAUAUCCACACCUCUGGCCCUGUGCGUGAAUCCCACUGCAUAUUGCAGCAAUGCUGACUUCUGCCAGAGACGAUUCUCCAUCAACUCUACAUUUUGUGUGUGUGUGACUUUUACCGAUUGAUAUGGUUUGGCUGUGUUCCACCCAAAUCUCAUCUUGAAUUGUAGUUCCCGUAAUUUCCAUGUGUUGUGGGUGGGACCUGGUGGGAGAUAUCUGAAUCAUGGGGGCAAUUUGUCCCAUACUGUUCUCUUGGUAGUGAAUAAGUCCUAUGAGAUCGGGUGGUUUUAUAAGGGGGAACCCCUUUCAUUUGGCUCUCAUUUUCUCUCUUGCCUGCUGCCAUGUAAUAUGUGCCUUUUGCCUUCCACCAUGAUUAUGAGGCCUCCCCAGCCACGUUGAACAGUGAGUCUAUUAAACCUCUUUUUCCUUAUAAAUUACCCAGUCUCAGAUAUGUCUUUAUUAGCAGCAUGAAAAUGGACUAAUACACAUACCAUGAGUAUAUCUCAUUGGCAAAGCCUGCAUCCAAGCUGUAAGGGAGUCUGAGAAUGUGAGUGCAGGAAAGUCUGAGCAUCUUCAAGGAAGAGGGAGAGUUACCUUCCUCCAAAUAAACUCAAACAUGUCAUAAGAAAUAGAUCCAAAUAUUGAAUGGCCGAAACAAAUGCCAGAUAUGUUUAAUAAAGUGUAUUCUUUCCUUGGAUUAUUUUUCUCUUCUCUUUAUGUUCACAUGAUAUUAGAUUGUUUUUUCAUCAUUACCUCUUUUUCCUCGAAAAGAAAUAGUAUUAAUGGCUGAUAUUUAAUUCAUUUUCACAGUAGAGAACAUGUCAUCUCCUCAGUUUUGCUACAUUCACUCACCACUUAUAUGUA
rnacentral:lncRNA from 1 species